rnacentral:rRNA from 1 species
GGUUGCUUGCAAGGGCGUAUGGUGGAUGCCUUGGCAGACAGUACCGAUGAAGGACGUUUGAGGCUGCGAUAUGCCUCGGGGAGCCGCCAGCAGGGCUUUGAUCCGAGGAUUUCCGAAUGGGGGAACCCGCCGGCCGUCAUGGGCCGGCACCGCGUUCGCGCGGGGGGUACGCAGGGAAGUGAAACAUCUCAGUACCUGCAGGAAAGGAUGUUCCGUGAGUAGUGGCGAGCGAAAGCGGAUCAGGCCAAACCGCGCGCGUGUGACAGGCGCCAGCCGUUGCGCGCGUGGUGUUGAGGGAGCGUGUGUCCGGGUCCUGGCGGGCCCGGCCGGAGUGAUAAAACGGCGUGUGAGGCGAACCGGAUUGAAUGCCGGGCCGCAGAGGGUGAUGGCCCCGUAGCCGAACGCGCGUCGUCUCCGGAUCGUGUCUCCCAAGUAGCGCGGGACUCGUGGAAUCCCGUGUGAAUCCGCCCCGACCGUGGGGUAAGCCUAGAUAUACCUGUCUGACCGAUAGCGAACUAGUACCGUGAGGGAAAGGUGAAAAGCACCCCGGGAGGGGAGUGAAACAGUCUCUGAAACCGUGCGCUUACAAACCGUCGGAGCCUUUCGGGGUGACGGCGUGCCUAUCGAAAAAUGAGUCUGCGAGUCAGUGGCACGUGGCGAGCGUAACCCGUGUGGGGUACGCGUAGCGAAGGCGAGUCUCAAAAGGCGUUUGAGUCGCGUGUCCUGGACCCGAAGCGGGAUGAUCUAGCCCUGAGCAGGUUGAAGCGCGGGUAAGACCGCGUGGAGGACCGAACCCACCUGGGUUGAAAACCGGGGGGAUGACUUGGGGUUAGGGGUGAAAGGCCAAUCAAAUUCCGUGAUAGCUGGUUCUCUCCGAAAUGCAUUUAGGUGCAGCGUCGGGGAUUACGUCCGGGGGGUAGAGCUACUGGAUGCUUGAGGGCCCGUAUCGGGUACCGACAGCAGCCAAACUCCGAAUACCCGUGACGCGUAUCCCGGCAGUGAGUCGGCGGGGGAUAAGCUCCGUCGUCGAAAGGGAGACAGCCCAGAUCGUCGUCUAAGGUCCCCAAGCGCGUGCUAAGUGGGAAAGGAUGUGGAGUCGCAUAGACAGCCAGGAGGUUGGCUCAGAAGCAGCCAUCCUUGAAAGAGUGCGUAACAGCUCACUGGUCUAGUGGUUCCGCGCCGACAAUGUAGCGGGGCUCAAGCACGCCACCGAAGACGCGGCAGCGUCCGUUUGGAUGCUGGGUAGGAGAGCGUCCCCAUCGGGGCGAAGCGGCGGCGCAAGCCUGCCGUGGACCGUUGGGGAGUGAGAAUGCAGACAUGAGUAGCGAGAGGCGGGUGCGAAUCCCGCCCGCUGGAUGACCAAGGGUUCCGGGGCCACGUUCGUCGUCCCCGGGUGAGUCGGGUCCUAAGGCGAGGCCGACAGGCGUAGUCGAAUGGAUGAACGGGCUGAUAUUCCCGUACCGGCAGCGAACCGAAACAACCGAGGCCUGGGGCGCUAACCUCCGGGUCCGUGCCGUCUCCCCUUUCGGGGGGUCGCGGCGCGGGCGCGUUGGGAUCCCCCCUCGUAGUAGGUCAGCGCAGGAGUGACGCAUCAGGGCAGCCGGCCGCGGAGGUGGUUUUCCGUGGUCAAGCGUUCGAGCCCGUCCCGCAGGCAAAUCCGCGGGGCGUCGGGGCGAGGCGUGAUGAUGGGGGCCUUACGGCCCGAAUCCGGUGAUCCGUGGUGCCGAGAAAAGCUUCGGCGUCAGGCGCGUUGCCGCCCGUACCCCAAACCGACACUGGUGGUCAGGUAGAGAAUACCAAAGCGAUCGAGCGAAUCCUGGUCAAGGAACUCGGCAAAUUGCUCCCGUGCCUUCGGCAUAAGGGAGACCCCCUGCGGUGAUGAGCGGCGGGGGGUGGCACAGGCCAGGGGGUAGCGACUGUUUACCAAAAACACAGGAGCGUGCGAAGGCGCAAGCCGCUGUAUACGCUCUGACGCCUGCCCGGUGCCGGAAGGUUAAGAGGAUCCGUCAGCUUCUGCGAAGCGGUGAAUUCAAGCCCCGGUAAACGGCGGUGGUAACUAUAACCAUCCUAAGGUAGCGAAAUUCCUUGUCGGGUAAGUUCCGACCUGCACGAAUGGCGUAACGACUUCCCCACUGUCUCGACCAGGAGCUCGGCGAAAUUGCAGUACGAGUAAAGAUGCUCGUUAAGCGCAGAAGGACGAAAAGACCCCGGGACCUUUACUAUACCUUGGUAUUGGCAUUAGGCGCGGAUUGUGUAGCAUAGGCGGGAGGCUUCGAAGCGGGUGCGCCAGCAU